GACGAACGCUGGCGGCGUGCCUAAUACAUGCAAGUUGAGCGCUGAAGGUUGGUACUUGUACCAACUGGAUGAGCAGCGAACGGGUGAGUAACGCGUGGGGAAUCUGCCUUUGAGCGGGGGACAACAUUUGGAAACGAAUGCUAAUACCGCAUAAAAACUUUAAACACAAGUUUUAAGUUUGAAAGAUGCAAUUGCAUCACUCAAAGAUGAUCCCGCGUUGUAUUAGCUAGUUGGUGAGGUAAAGGCUCACCAAGGCGAUGAUACAUAGCCGACCUGAGAGGGGGAUCGGCCACAUUGGGACUGAGACACGGCCCAAACUCCUACGGGAGGCAGCAGUAGGGAAUCUUCGGCAAUGGACGAAAGGCUGACCGAGCAACGCCGCGUGAGUGAAGAAGGGUUUCGGAUCGUAAAACUCUGUUGGUAGAGAAGAACGUUGGUGAGAGUGGAAAGCUCAUCAAGUGACGGUAACUACCCAGAAAGGGACGGCUAACUACGUG
rnacentral:rRNA from 1 species